rnacentral:rRNA from 1 species
ACUCUCGGCAAUGGAUAUCUCGGCUCUCGCAUCGAUGAAGAACAUAGCGAAAUGUGAUAACUAGUGUGAAAUGCAGAAUCCCAUGAACCAUCGAGUCUUUAAACGCAAGUUAUGCCCGAGGCCAUCCGGCUAAGGGCACGCCUACCUGGGCGUCACACUUUCAACGCUUUGUCGUUGCCUCCUUGGGGGGUGGGGGCGAACGCGGAGGAUGGCCCCCCGUGCCAGAAGGUGUGGUUGGCCAAAGAGCGGGCCGCAGUGGUUGUCGAACAUGACGUGUGGUGGAUGCCUUGUGUGAGCUGUACAUCGUGCCUUCGAGACCCGGGUGAGGCCUCAAGGACCCAAGUCAUGGUGCGAGUCGAUGCCAUGGACCACGACCUUAGGUCAAGUGGGGCUACCCGUUGAGUUUAAGCAUAUAAAUAAGCGGAGGAGAAGAAACUUACAAGGAUACCCUUAGUAACAGCAAAUGAACCGGGAUAAGCCCAGCUUGAGAAUCGGGCGACUGCAUCGUCUGAAUUGUAGUCUGGAGAGACGUCCUCAGCGACGGACUGGGCCCAAGUCUCCUGGAAAGGGGCGCCGGGGAGGGUGAGAGCCCCAUCCGGCUCAGACCCUAUCGCACCACGAGGCGCUGUCGACGAGUCAGGUUGUUUGGGAAUGCAGCCCCAAUCGGGCAGUAAAUUCCGUCCAAGACUAAAUAUGGGCAAGAGACCGAUAGCAAACAAGUGCCGCGAGGGAAAGAUGAAAAGGACUUUGAAAAGAGAGUCAAAGAGUGCUUGAAAUUGCCGGGAGGGAAGCGGAUGGGGGCCGGCGAUGCACCUUGGUCAGAUGCGGAACGUCGUUUAGCCGAUCCGCCGCUCAGCUCAGGGUGCGGAUUGAUGUGGGCUGCAUCAACGGCCAAAGCCCGGACGGAUCAUUCGUUCGAGGGGAUACCAUCAAUGCGGUCGAGGACAUGACAUGCGCCAUCGGCAUGCCCUGCGGGGUACACGUGCGACCUAGGCAUCAGCCAAUGGGCUCCCCAACCAACCCAUCUUGAAACAUGGACCAAGGAGUCUGACAUGCAUGUGAGUCGACGGGUGCGGAAACCCGAAAGGCACAAGGAAGCUAACGGGCGGGAACCCUCUCGAGGGAUUGCACCACCGGCCGACCCCGAUCUUCUGUGAAGGGUUCGAGUUGGAGCAUGCAUGUCGGGACCCGAAAGAUGGUGAACUAUGCUUGAGCGAAUCGAAGCCAGAGGAAACUCUGGUGGAGGCCCGAAGCGAUACUGAUGUGCAAAUCAUUCGAUUAACUUGGGUAUAGGGGCGAAAGACUAAUCGAACCAUCUAGUAGCUGGUUCCCUCUGAAGCUUACCUCAGAAUAGCUGGAGCCCACGUGCGAGUUCUAUCGGGUAAAGCCAAUGAUUAGAGGCAUUGGGGGUGCAACGCCCUCGACCUAUUCUCAAACUUUAAAUAGGUAGGACGGCGCAGCUGCUUCGUUGAGCCGCAUCGCAGAAUCGAGAGCUCCAUGUGGGCCAUUUUUGGUAAGCAGAACUGGCGAUGCAGGAUGAACUGGAAGCCGGGUUAUGGUGCCCAACUACGCAUUAACCCAGACACCACAAAGGGUGCUGGUCGAUUAAGACAACAGGACAGUGGUCAUGGAAGUCGAAAUCUGCUAAGGAGUGUGUAACAACUCACCUGCCGUAUCAACUAGCCCCGAAAAUGGAUGGCGCUGAAGCGUGUGACCCACACGCGGCCAUCGGGGCGAGCGCUAAGCCCCGAUGAGUAGGAGGGCGUAGCGGUCGCCGCAAAACCCAGGGUGCAAGCCCGGGAGGAGUGGCCAUCGGUACAGAUCUUGGUGGUAGUAGCAAAUAUUCAAAUGAGAACUUUGAAGGCCUAAGAGGGGAAAAGUUCCAUGUGAACGGCACUUGCACAUGGGUUAGCCGAUCCUAAGGGACGGGGGAAGCCCGUUCGAGAGCGUGUCUUCACGCGAGCUCCGAAAGGGAAUCAGGUUAAAAUUCCCGAGCCGAGACGCAGCGGCGGACGACAACGUUAGGAAGUCCCGAGACGCCAGCGAGGGCCUCGGGAAGAGUUAUCUUUUCUGCUUAACGGCCCGCCAACCCUGGAAACGGCUCAGCCAGAGGUAGGGUCCAGUGGUCGGAAGAGCGCCGCACAUCACGCAACAUCCGGUGCACCCCCAACGACUCUUGAAAAUCCAAAGGACUGAGUGCCACCCGUGCCCGAUCGUACUCAUAACCACAUCAAGUCUCCAAGGUGAACAGCCUUUGGCCCAUAGAACAAUGUAGGCAAGGAAAGUCGGCAAAAUGGAUCCGUAACUUCAGGAAAAGGAUUGGCUCUGAGGGUUGGGCAUGGGGGUCCCGGCCCUGAACCUGUCGGCUGUCGACGGACUGCUCGAGCUUCUCUUACGGCGAGAGCGGGUUGCCGUGUGCCGGCCGGGGGACGGACCGAGAAAGGCCCCCUCGAGGGCCUUCCCCGGGCAUCGAACAACCGACUCAGAACUAGUACGGACAAGGGGAAUCCGACUGUUUAAUUAAAACAAAGCAUUGCUAUGGUCCCCGCGGAUGCUCACGCAAUGUGAUUUCUGCCCAGUGCUCUGAAUGUCAAAGUGAAGAAAUUCAACCAAGCGCGAGUAAACAGUGGGAGUAACUAUGACUCUCUUAAGGUAUCCGAAUGCCUCGUCAUCUAAUUAGUGACGCGCAUGAAUGGAUUAAUGAGAUUCCCAUUGUCCUUGUCUACUAUCCAGCGAAACCACAACCAAGGAAACGGGUUUGGCAGAAUCAACGGGGAAAGAAUGUAACAUCCCCCAUUUUUGAAAAUUUAGUAAAAGGUUUGUUUGUAAAAAUAUGGAUUAUUUAAUAAUUAUUUUAUAUUAAAUAAUAUUAUAUUAAAAGUUUAUGGCUAGGUACCUAAGAGUAAAUAUUAGAAGUUUGAUAUAAUUUAUGAAAGAUUCAGAUUUAAGUUAAAAAAAAAUAGUGAACAUGUGUCACUAGCUAACCUAAGGGUGCCACUUAUGUUUACUCUAAAGAUGACACCUAGCCCCUUUCAUGCAUGCAUGACACCUUGCAACUUUUGCAUUAGCCAAAACCAGAAAAAAAAAAAAAAAAAAAAAAGAACUAGAUGAAAGGUUAAAGAAAACAAACCUGAAGAGUUGCAGCCAAUGUGAGUUUGACAAGAGAAGGGAAGAAGAAGAAGAAGAAGAAGAAGAAGAAGAAGAAGAAGAAGAAGAAGAAGAGCUUUAGGUUUUUCAUCAAUUUUCCCACAUUUGG